rnacentral:rRNA from 1 species
AUACAGAGGGUGCAAGCGUUAAUCGGAUUUACUGGGCGUAAAGCGCGCGUAGGUGGCUAAUUAAGUCAAAUGUGAAAUCCCCGAGCUUAACUUGGGAAUUGCAUUCGAUACUGGUUAGCUAGAGUAUGGGAGAGGAUGGUAGAAUUCCAGGUGUAGCGGUGAAAUGCGUAGAGAUCUGGAGGAAUACCGAUGGCGAAGGCAGCCAGCUGGCCUAAUCCUGACACUGAGGUGCGAAAGCAUGGGGAGCAAACAGGAUUAGAUACCCUGGUAGUCCAUGCCGUAAACGAUGUCUACUAGCCGUUGGGGCCCUUGAGGCUUUAGUGGCGCAGCUAACGCGAUAAGUAGACCGCCUGGGGAGUACGGUCGCAAGACUAAAACUCAAAUGAAUUGACGGGG